rnacentral:rRNA from 1 species
CCUACGGGGGGCUGCAGUGGGGAAUAUUGGACAAUGGGCGAAAGCCUGAUCCAGCCAUGCCGCGUGUGUGAAGAAGGCCUUCGGGUUGUAAAGCACUUUCAGUGGGGAAGAAAGCCUUGGGGCUAAUACCCUCGAGGAAGGACAUCACCCACAGAAGAAGCACCGGCUAACUCCGUGCCAGCAGCCGCGGUAAUACGGAGGGUGCGAGCGUUAAUCGGAAUUACUGGGCGUAAAGCGCGCGUAGGCGGUCUGAUAAGCCGGUUGUGAAAGCCCCGGGCUCAACCUGGGAACGGCAUCCGGAACUGUCAGGCUAGAGUGCAGGAGAGGAAGGUAGAAUUCCCGGUGUAGCGGUGAAAUGCGUAGAGAUCGGGAGGAAUACCAGUGGCGAAGGCGGCCUUCUGGACUGACACUGACGCUGAGGUGCGAAAGCGUGGGUAGCAAACAGGAUUAGAUACCCUAUAGUC